CAAUAGCGUAUAUUAAAGCUGUUGCGGUUAAAAAGCUCGUAGUUGGAUUUCUGUCAAGGACAACUGGUCCGCCCCUCGGGUGAGCACAUAGUUUGGUCUUGGCAUCUUGUUGGAAGCUGUUGCUGCACUUGGUUGUGUGGCGCAGUGUCCAGCACUUUCACUUUGAGGAAAUUGGAGUGUUUCAAGCAGGCACAUGCCUUUGGACACAGUAGCAUGGAAUAAUUAGAUUGGGCUUUUGCUCCAACUUGUCGGUUUCUGGAGCUGAGGUGAGAAUUAAUGGGGAUUGUUGGGGGCAUCCGAAUUUAGCCGUCAGAGGUGAAAUUCUUGGAUCUGCUAAAGACGGACAACUGCGAAAGCGUUUGCCCAGGAUGUUUUCAUUGA
rnacentral:rRNA from 1 species